CUUGUAAUUUCUUGGUGUUUUGAGACUGAAGACAUCAUUUUGGAAAUAAUUACCAAGUAAACUGAAAAAGGUCCUUAUUUUGUGAUUUGACUUUUGGCAACCUAUUGGGCAUUGAUGCUUUGCCCGUUUGCUUAAUGCAAAUAUGUUUGUUUUGUUGGCUGUAUGGCAGUGUGAUAUUUCUAAUACAACCAGUUUUAAUAACUUGG
rnacentral:misc_RNA from 1 species